UUAGCUAAUAAAGUAAUAAAUAAAUCAUAAUUCCUGCAUAAUUUAACAUUUAUUAGUAGGCUAGAACAUUUACGUGGUAAAUGAACAGAAAAUGUUAAAUAAAAAUGAUACAAUAAAACUGUAGUAUAACAAAUUUACAAAUAAUAGAUACAUAAUUCUGCACACGUAACAUAACUAAAAUAAACAACACAUGUAACAUAACUAAAAUAAACAACACAUGUAACAUAACUAAUAUAACAAGAGAUACAUAAUUUUACACAUGUAACAUAACUAAAAUUAACAGGAGAUGCAUAAUUCUGCAUAUUUUACAAAUUAAAAUUAACGAGAGAUACAAAAUUAUGCAUAUAUAACUGACUAAAAAUAACAAUAGAUACAUAAUUAUACACUUUUAACUGACUAAAAAUAAGAAGAGAUAAAAAGAGAUACUAGAAAAUUAAACUAAGCAUUUGAGAGAUACAAACUUAUCCUUAAUUAACAAACUCAGAUAACAUGAGAUACAAGAAAACUGCAUAGGUAAUUUUAUUUAAGAUACAAGAAAAUUGUAUUAGUAAUUUGCCUAAUAUGCACACAUAUAAUGCCCUCAUAAAAGAUUUUCUUGAUGUAACUUCAACAUUUCUUUGUUUGCACCAUGAGAAAUACGUUUUGAAGCACCAUGGACUAUUUUUUUGCCAUCAGAACCUCCUUUCUUCUUUCUCUUAAGUGCUUUCUUUAUUUUCUUCAUCGUAAUAGGAUAGUUGUUAUUUUUUGAUCGAUUUUUGCUUAACGCCUCAAAUUACGUAACUUUCAACAACAAUAAAAAUAAACUAAUUUAAGAAAAAUGAGGUUCAAAGUUUACUGUGGAUGAAUCGAUUCGCAGUAAACUUUGAACCUUAUUUUUUCAACAAGACUAACGAAAGUUUACUGUAUUUCAUCCCAACAAAUUGUUAAAUUUGUUGAGAUGAAAAAUAAAGAUGAAGAUGGAGAAAUCUUGCAUAACUUAGAAAAUGGAUAGUAGGGGAAUAAUUGCAUCAAUUACUGCAUGAUUUGCGCCGCACCUUCAAAAUUCU
rnacentral:lncRNA from 1 species